GUAGGUGGCAAGCGUUGUCCGGAAUUAUUGGGCGUAAAGCGCGCGCAGGCGGUUCUUUAAGUCUGAUGUGAAAGCCCACGGCUCAACCGUGGAGGGUCAUUGGAAACUGGAGAACUUGAGUACAGAAGAGGAAAGCGGAAUUCCACGUGUAGCGGUGAAAUGCGCAGAGAUGUGGAGGAACACCAGUGGCGAAGGCGGCUUUCUGGUCUGUAACUGACGCUGAGGCGCGAAAGCGUGGGGAGCAAACAGGAUUAGAUACCCUGGUAGUCCACGCCGUAAACGAUGAGUGCUAAGUGUUAGGGGGUUUCCGCCCCCCUUAGUGCUGCAGCUAACGCAUUAAGCACUCCGCCCUGGGAGUACGGCCGCAAGGCUG
rnacentral:rRNA from 1 species